GACGAACGCUGGCGGCGUGCUUAACACAUGCAAGUCGAACGGAAAGGCCCUGCUUUUGUGGGGUGCUCGAGUGGCGAACGGGUGAGUAACACGUGAGUAACCUGCCCUUGACUUUGGGAUAACUUCAGGAAACUGGGGCUAAUACCGGAUAGGAGCUCCUGCUGCAUGGUGGGGGUUGGAAAGUUUCGGCGGUUGGGGAUGGACUCGCGGCUUAUCAGCUUGUUGGUGGGGUAGUGGCUGACCAAGGCUUUGACGGGUAGCCGGCCUGAGAGGGUGAACGGCGACAUUGGGACUGAGAUACGGCGCAGACUCCUACGGGAGGCAGUAGUGGGGAAUAUUGCAGAAUGGGCGGAAGCCUGAGGCAGCGACGCCGCGUGCGGGAUGACCGCCUUCGGGGGGUAAACCGCUUUCGCCUGUGACGAAGAGUGAGUGACGGUAAUGGGUAAAGAAGCACCGGCUAACUACGUG
rnacentral:rRNA from 1 species